rnacentral:rRNA from 1 species
GACGAACGCUGGCGGCGUGCUUAACACAUGCAAGUCGAACGGAAAGGCCCUGCUUUUGUGGGGUGCUCGAGUGGCGAACGGGUGAGUAACACGUGAGUAACCUGCCCUUGACUUUGGGAUAACUUCAGGAAACUGGGGCUAAUACCGGAUAGGAGCUCCUGCUGCAUGGUGGGGGUUGGAAAGUUUCGGCGGUUGGGGAUGGACUCGCGGCUUAUCAGCUUGUUGGUGGGGUAGUGGCUUACCAAGGCUUUGACGGGUAGCCGGCCUGAGAGGGUGACCGGCCACAUUGGGACUGAGAUACGGCCCAGACUCCUACGGGAGGCAGCAGUGGGGAAUAUUGCACAAUGGGCGGAGGCCUGAUGCAGCAACGCCGCGUGCGGGAUGAAGGCCUUCGGGUUGUAAACCGCUUUCGCCUGUGACGAAGCGUGAGUGACGGUAAUGGGUAAAGAAGCACCGGCUAACUACGUG